GGAUUCCCGUCGAGUAAGAACUAGCCAUUCGCUCGUAGCGAGUCUUGGAGGGCUAAAGGUAACUUUAGUCUUUAAGCGUAGACAGUUAGGUGGCGGAUUCGGUUACUAAAAAAGGGGGCACUCAUAAGAGUGUCUUUUUUCUCAAUAUAAGAACUCUAAGAAUAUGAUAUUAUUUUAAUACAAAUUCCCUUUUGUGCAAUGAGAU
rnacentral:ncRNA from 1 species